rnacentral:rRNA from 1 species
GUAGUCCACGCCCUAAACGAUGUCAACUAGUUGUUGGAGAAGGAGACUUCUUUAGUAACGCAGCUAACGCGCGAAGUUGACCGCCUGGGGAGUACGGUCGCAAGAUUAAAACUCAAAGGAAUUGACGGGGACCCGCACAAGCGGUGGAUGAUGUGGAUUAAUUCGAUGCAACGCGAAAAACCUUACCUACCCUUGACAUGCCAGGAACUUGCCAGAGAUGGCUUGGUGCUCGAAAGAGAACCUGGACACAGGUGCUGCAUGGCUGUCGUCAGCUCGUGUCGUGAGAUGUUGGGUUAAGUCCCGCAACGAGCGCAACCCUUGUCAUUAAUUGCCAUCAUUUAGUUGGGCACUUUAAUGAGACUGCCGGUGACAAACCGGA